GCUUGGUUAGUAUAACAGUUAUUACGAUUGUUUUGUAAUCAAUAGAUACAAGUGCGAUUCUUGUACUGAGCU
rnacentral:tRNA from 1 species